GGGGGUAUGGCUAAGUGGGAGAGUGCUUACCUAGUACGUGUGAGGCUCUGGGUUCAAUUCCCAGUGCCACAU
rnacentral:tRNA from 1 species